rnacentral:rRNA from 1 species
AUUGAACGCUGGCGGCAGGCCUAACACAUGCAAGUCGAACGAGUGGCGGACGGGUGAGUAAUGUCUGGGAAACUGCCCGAUGGCGGGGGAUAACUACUGGAAACGGUAGCUAAUACCGCAUACCAUCGGAUGUGCCCAGAUGGGAUUAGCUAGUAGAUGGGGUAACGGCUCACCUAGGCGACGAUCCCUAGCUGGUCUGAGAGGAUGACCAGCCAAACUGGAACUGAGAAACGGUCAAGCAUCCUACGGGAGGCAGCAGUGGGGAAUAUUGCACAAUGGGCGAAAGCCUGAUGCAGGAAUGCCGCGUGUAUGAAGAAGGCCGUAGGGUUGUAAAGUACUUGCAGCGAGGAGGCGUUACUCGCAGAAGAAGCACCGGCGAACUCCGUGCCAGCAGCCGCGGUAAUAC